rnacentral:snRNA from 1 species
AGCACAUAUACUAAAAUUGGAAUGAUAUAGAGAAGAUCAUCAUGGCCCCUGCUCAAGGAUGACAUGCAAAUUCGUGAAGCAUUCCAUAUUUUU